UACAGAGGUCUCAAGCGUUGUUCGGAUUCACUGGGCGUAAAGGGUGCGUAGGUGGUGGGGUAAGUCGGAUGUGAAAGCUCGGAGCUCAACUCCGAAAUGGCAUUGGAAACUACCCUGCUUGAGGGUCGGAGGGGGGACUGGAAUUCUCGGUGUAGCAGUGAAAUGCGUAGAUAUCGAGAGGAACACCAGUGGCGAAGGCGGGUCUCUGGGCCGAUACUGACGCUGAGGAGCGAAAGCGUGGGGAGCGAACAGG
rnacentral:rRNA from 1 species